CUGCGGAGGGAUCAUUACCGAGUUAUACAACUCAUCAACCCUGUGAACAUACCUAUAACGUUGCCUCGGCGGGAACAGACGGCCCCGUAACACGGGCCGCCCCCGCCAGAGGACCCCCUAACUCUGUUUCUAUAAUGUUUCUUCUGAGUAAACAAGCAAAUAAAUUAAAACUUUCAACAACGGAUCUCUUGGCUCUGGCAUCGAUGAAGAACGCAGCGAAAUGCGAUAAGUAAUGUGAAUUGCAGAAUUCAGUGAAUCAUCGAAUCUUUGAACGCACAUUGCGCCCGCCAGUAUUCUGGCGGGCAUGCCUGUUCGAGCGUCAUUACAACCCUCAGGCCCCCGGGCCUGGCGUUGGGGAUCGGCGGAAGCCCCCUGCGGGCACAACGCCGUCCCCCAAAUACAGUGGCGGUCCCGCCGCAGCUUCCAUUGCGUAGUAGCUAACACCUCGCAACUGGAGAGCGGCGCGGCCACGCCGUAAAACACCCAACUUCUGAAUGUUGACCUCGAAUCAGGUAGGAAUACCCGCUGAACUUAAGCAUA
rnacentral:rRNA from 1 species